UGUUACUCACGUAAAACGUGUUCCUUCCACUUCCCCACCUUCUAACGGCAGAUUCCUCACACAAACCGUGUUCCUUCCCCUUCCCCACAUUCUAACAGAGGACUAUCAAAAUGCUGUCCACCAUAACGCCCAAACCCAUUCUUAAUAGCCUUUACUUUAUAACACCAACCCUUUCUAUAUCCCCUCCUUUUGCUCUACCAGUGUUCCACGGUUUCAAAACUUCAGCCCUUCAGCUAGCUAACGCCAACCUCUCUUUCUUCCAAAGAUAGUUUCAAAACUUCAGACCUUUGGCUUUCUAAAACAGUAUAUUUGAUGAUUCACUUCAGACCUUUAAAACUUGAACGCAACACUAGGUGAGAGCUAUUGAAGAGGGGGCAGAUUUCAUAGAAACAGACAUCCUCGGCAGUUAAGAUGGAGUGCUAAUAUGCUCCCAUGAUGUAACACUGGAUCUUGAUAAUAGAACAAAUAUUGCAAACUUCAGUCAGUUUGCCGAUCGAAAAAGAACUUAUGAGGUCCAAGGUGUGACUAUGACUGGGUGUUACUAUGGUGAGAAUUACAAAAAGAGUCAUUAAUAUUUUACUUUGCCAGACUAUAUUUUAGCAAGCCUGGGAAAAAUGGCAUUCUAAGUGUGGAUGCACGUCCCUCAGAUGCCAUAAAUGUGGCAAAUAGAUGCAAGGCACCAAUAUUUGUAAGUAGACAAAUUGUCUUGGAAGAUGCUAUUAAAAUCGGUUAUGGGAUGGGCAGAAAACGUGAUACUAAAUCUACUUAUGAUGUGUCCCUUGACAGGUGAACAUCUUUGCAGUUUUUGCAGUCGCUAAUUUUUUUCCCUCUCCAUCGCAACAUGAAGUUUGUGAACAUCUUUGCAGUUUUUCCCUCUGCAUCUCCGCAUGAAGUUUGUGAGUUUUUUCUUGCAUAAUUAACAUAUAUGAACAUAGCUAGCUAUGUACCUAUUUCUCUGUUUAUAUGAUUGAAUUCCUGUUUCGGGUGAUUCAAUUAAUUUUGUAUUUUUUUCAGACAUGUUUUGAGAAAAGAUGCGGGUUUUAUCUUUUCACUGUCAUAUAGUCCGUAUUCCUGGAUUUAGGAACAUACUGUGUGUAUCAUUGAAAUUCUGCAGACAUGUUUGGGCAAAGGUGGGGGGUUUUCUAUUUCCCACCAUGUCUCAUAGUUAUUGUAUGUGGAUUUUUUAGGAUGUCACUCCAUUGUCCCGUGGACCUUUCGGCUUUUGCAAUCUUCUCUCCUAAUUAGGUGGGUGUAAAAGUUUCCCACUUUCAAGAAUGUACUUCUUUGGGUUCGGAAUUUGUUGCAAGAAAAAAAAAACACAAAAAAAAUCAACAAGCCCCUUGAUGCAAAUAAUUUGAUUUAUGUAGUUCCUUGGUACAAAACUGUUAAUAACUUGCACCUGUGGAAUGUGUCUUUAUUAAUUUAUGCAGUUCCUUGGCACAAAUUUAAAUUCACAACUAAUGUCUAUUACUUAUAAUUCAAUGUAAGGAUUAGAUUAAUAGUAUUGGUUCUUUUGAUUGUUGGUUUUUUUCCCCUCUUUUAUUACUACCUCUUUUGUGUUGUGGGUCUU